rnacentral:rRNA from 1 species
GAUGAACGCUGGCGGCGUGCCUAAUACAUGCAAGUCGAGCGAACAGACGAGGAGCUUGCUCCUCUGACGUUAGCGGCGGACGGGUGAGUAACACGUGGAUAACCUACCUAUAAGACUGGGAUAACUUCGGGAAACCGGAGCUAAUACCGGAUAAUAUAUUGAACCGCAUGGUUCAAUAGUGAAAGACGGUUUUGCUGUCACUUAUAGAUGGAUCCGCGCCGCAUUAGCUAGUUGGUAAGGUAACGGCUUACCAAGGCAACGAUGCGUAGCCGACCUGAGAGGAUGAUCAGCCACACUGGAACUGAGACACGGUCCAGACUCCUACGGGAGGCAGCAGUAGGGAAUCUUCCGCAAUGGGCGAAAGCCUGACGGAGCAACGCCGCGUGAGUGAUGAAGGUCUUCGGAUCGUAAAACUCUGUUAUUAGGGAAGAACAAAUGUGUAAGUAACUAUGCACGUCUUGACGGUACCUAAUCAGAAAGCCACGGCUAACUACGUG